GACGAACGCUGGCGGCGUGCUUAACACAUGGCAGUCGAACGGAAAGGCCCCUUUGGGGGUACUCGAGUGGCGAACGGGGGAGUAAAACGUGAGUAACCUGCCCUUGACUUCGGGAUAACUUCAGGAAACUGGGGCCAAUACCGGCUAGGAAUCCUUGCUGCAUGGUGGGGGUUGGAAAGCUUCGGCGGUUUUGGAUGGACUCGCGGCUUAUCAGCUUGUUGGUGGGGUAGUGGCUUACCAAGGCUUCGACGGGUAGCCGGCCUGAGAGGGUGACCGGCCACCUUGAGACUUAGGGGCGGCCCCGGCUCCGACGGGAGGCAGCAGUGGGGAAGACUGCUCCAGGGGCGGAAGCCGUAUGCAGCAGCGCCGCGGGCGGGAUGACGGCCUUCGGGUUGUAGACCGCCUUCAGCAGGGGCGAAGCUUGUGGUGACGGUACCUGCAGAAGAAGCACCGGCUAACUACGUG
rnacentral:rRNA from 1 species